ensembl:lncRNA
GUGAUCUCUUGGUGUCUCUUCUUCUUUUUUUUCCUAAGUUCAAAUCAUCCUGAUUUUAUGAUCACAGAAAUACUACAAAUAUCCACAAUUGGUGAACACCAUUAUAACAAAUACAGACAGAGGGAUGGAUAGAGGGCUACAUAGAUAGAGUGACUAACAGGAAUAGGCUCAAUCUGCACGUGCUGUUUUUAAAGUAUAGUGUUGAAUUUAGUGUUACUUGAAUUUUAAAAAAGCUUAUUUGACCACACCAGGGCUCUGUUGUGGCAUGUGAGAUCUUUAGUUGCAGCGUGUAGGAUCUAGUUUGCUGACCCUGGGUCAAACCCAGGCCCCCUGCACUGGGACACAGGCUUGAUCCCUGGGUCAGGAAGAUCCCCUGGAGGAGGAAAUGGCAACCCACUCCAUUAUUCUUGCCUGGAAAAUCCCAUGGACAGAGGAGCCUGGGAGGCUGCAGUCCAUGGGGUCACAGAGAGUUGGAGAUGACUGAGCGACUUAACACACUCUCAUGCAUUUCCUUAAAAGCCCCACGUCCAAAUACAGCCCCUCUGGGGGUUAAGACUUCAACAUAUGAGUUUUGGAGGGGACCCACACAUUCAGUCCAUAACAUCCCGCAUAGUGAUAUGAAAUAGAUGACAUUUGAUACCUUGAUACUGAUAGUCAUUAAAUCAAGAAAACUCCAUUGCACACCUACUGUGCGCCAGAAUCUCCACUAGGCUCUGAGAUUAUAGGUAGAAGGGAAAAAAAAAGCCUCAGUGUUUGAUGAGUUUAUAACUUGAAGAGAGACAGAGUGGCUCUUAGAACACAGUGGUUGCUGCCAAGAGAACUUGAGCAUUUGUGCUAAGUCACUCCAUCAUGUUCAGCUCUUUGAGACCACAUGGACUGUAGCCCACUAGGCUCCUCUAUCCAUGGGAUUCUCCAGGCUAGAAUGCUGGAGUGGGUUGCCAUUUCCUCUUCCAGACCCAGGGAUCGAACCCAUGUCUCUUGGGUCUCCUGAGUUGGCAGCGGUUCUUUACUGCUAGCACCCCUGGUUAUUCAGAUGGUAAAGAUUUCAUCUACAAUGCAGGAGGCCUGGAUUCUAUCCCCAGGUCAGGAAGAUCUUCUGGAGGAGGGCAUGGGUACCCACUCCAGUAUUCUUGCCUGGGAAUUCCAUGCACAGAAGAGCCUGGCGGGCUACAGUCCAUGAGGUCGCAAAACAGUCAGGACACGACUGAGCGACUAACACUUUCACUUUCCGUUCAGUGCCUCCUGGGAAGCCCCAGAGUGCCUAGAUACAACGAAUAAACCACUCCCUGGGGGCUGCAGAAGUGAUGUGCAAGCAGAAACAGAGUCGCACUGAAUGAAUGGCCAGACUUCCUACACCAUGCAUACUGAUCAGAGAAAGACUCCGAGGUCUUGAACAGGUAACCCGGUCUCUCCUAGGCACCAAACCUCUGCACCACGUGCCUCCUUUCAUUAAAAACGUGAAGAAAAUUUCGGAGCCUUUUGGACUCAGACAUUCGGACUACUUGGGGACUUUGGCCAGUUCUUGAUUCUCAGUUUCCCCACCAUUUUCUGUUCCCCUGAAGUUUUGAAAGGAUACCACCCAAUGGGUAUCUUGAAAGAGGAAUCAGCCGGAAUUCUCUCUUUCAGACCGCUGUCCUCCUCCCUCCAGGGAAGCUUCCUUCACAGAAUAUUGAAACACUCGGGAUGCAGCCUGCUAACAGGUGCAGAGGCUCCCCUGGGAUCAGGCCAAGAAGCCCUCAAAGUGCAGGUGUUAAGUAAUUAUUCC